rnacentral:rRNA from 1 species
UACGUAGGGCGCAAGCGUUAUCCGGAAUUAUUGGGCGUAAAGAGCUCGUAGGCGGUUUGUCGCGUCUGCCGUGAAAGUCCGGGGCUCAACUCCGGAUCUGCGGUGGGUACGGGCAGACUAGAGUGAUGUAGGGGAGACUGGAAUUCCUGGUGUAGCGGUGAAAUGCGCAGAUAUCAGGAGGAACACCGAUGGCGAAGGCAGGUCUCUGGGCAUUAACUGACGCUGAGGAGCUGAAAGCAUGGGGAGCGAAC